ACCCAGGUGACGAGUCCCAAAUAGGACGAAUCAUGUGUCCUAGAU
rnacentral:hammerhead_ribozyme from 1 species